UCAGCUCGUGUCGUGAGAUGGUUGGGUUAAGUCCCGCAACGAGCGCAACCCUUGUGUUAGUUGCAAACAGGUCAAGCUGUGCACUCUAGACAGACUGCCGUGGACAAUACGGAGGAAGGUGGGGAUGACGGUCAAAUCAUCAUGCCCCCUUAUGAUCUGGGCUACACACGUGCUACAAUGGCCGGUACAACGGGCAGCGAAGGAGCGAUCCGGAGCGAAUCCUAAAAAGCCGGUCCCAGUUCGGAUUGCAGGCUGAAACUCGCCUACAUGAAGUUGGAGUUGCUAGUAAUCGCGAAUCAGAAUGUCGCGGUGAAUGCGUUCCCGGGUCUU
rnacentral:rRNA from 1 species